GCACUUUAAGCAGUGAAGAAGACUCUAUGGUUAAUACCCAUAGACGAUGACAUUAGCUGCAGAAUAAGCACCGGCUAACUCUGUGCCAGCAGCCGCGGUAAUACAGAGGGUGCAAGCGUUAAUCGGAAUUACUGGGCGUAAAGCGAGCGUAGGUGGCUUGAUAAGUCAGAUGUGAAAGCCCCGGGCUUAACCUGGGAACGGCAUCUGAUACUGUUAGGCUAGAGUAGGUGAGAGGAAGGUAGAAUUCCAGGUGUAGCGGUGAAAUGCGUAGAGAUCUGGAGGAAUACCGAUGGCGAAGGCAGCCUUCUGGCAUCAUACUGACACUGAGGUUCGAAAGCGUGGGUAGCAAACAGGAUUAGAUACCCUGGUAGUCCACGCCGUAAACGAUGUCUACUAGUCGUUGG
rnacentral:rRNA from 1 species